CGGCGGAGCAGGAGGGGCCGAGCCCCCUCCCCAGAGGACCCCCCCUCACCCCUCACCUGUCCCCACGCCGGCUGCGGGCGGGAGUUCAGCGCCGCCAGCAGCUUCCAGAGCCACGUGAAGCUGGCGCACCGCAAGGGCCGCGGCCAGGUGUGCCCCCAGCCCGGCUGCGGGAAGAGGUUUUACCUGGCAGAGCACCUGCGCCGGCACAUGGGCGUCCACUCAGGUGUGCGGGAGUUCACCUGUGACACCUGCGGGAAGUCCUUCAAGCGCAAGAACCACCUGGAAGUCCACAGGAGGACACACACCGGCGAGACCCCCCUGCAGUGCGAGGUGUGCGGGUACCGCUGCCGCCAGCGCGCGUCCCUGACGUGGCACAUGAGGAGACACGGGGGGCUCAAGAGUCACCCCGAGCCCCGUGGCACGUAGGGGACCCCCUGGAGUCACCUGGGGACCCUCCUGGAGUCACCUGGGACCCCCGUGGAGUCACCUGGGGACCC